AGUGAACGCUGGCGGUAGGCCUAACACAUGCAAGUCGAACGGCAGCACAGUAAGAGCUUGCUCUUACGGGUGGCGAGUGGCGGACGGGUGAGGAAUACAUCGGAAUCUACUUUUUCGUGGGGGAUAACGUAGGGAAACUUACGCUAAUACCGCAUACGACCUACGGGUGAAAGCAGGGGAUCUUCGGACCUUGCGCGAUUGAAUGAGCCGAUGUCGGAUUAGCUAGUUGGCGGGGUAAAGGCCCACCAAGGCGACGAUCCGUAGCUGGUCUGAGAGGAUGAUCAGCCACACUGGAACUGAGACACGGUCCAGACUCCUACGGGAGGCAGCAGUGGGGAAUAUUGGACAAAGAGCGCAAGCCUGAUCCAGCCAUACCGCGUGGGUGAAGAAGGCCUUCGGGUUGUAAAGCCCUUUUGUUGGGAAAGAAAAGCAGCAGGUUAAUACCCCGCUGUUCUGACGGUACCCAAAGAAUAAGCACCGGCUAACUUCGUG
rnacentral:rRNA from 1 species